AUUGAACGCUGGCGGCAUGGCUAAAACAUGCAAGUCGAACGUGUCCGCAAGGACAAGUGGCGAAAGGGUCAGUAAUGCGAUCGAACGUACCCUGAGGUGGGGGAUAGGGCAGGGAAACUUGCCAUAAUACCCCAUGAUGUUUACGAACCAAAGGUUUACCGCCUUGGGAGCGGCGAUCGUCCUAUCAGCUAGUUGGUGAGGUAACGGCUCACCAAGGCGAAGACGGGUAGCAGGUGUGAGAGCACGACCUGCGACAUCGGGACUGAGACACUGCCCGGACUUCUACGGAAGCUGCAGUAACGAUCUUCCGCAAUGGGNGAAAGCCUNACGGAGCAAUGCCCGCGUGUGGGAUGAAGCGGCUACGCCGUGUAAACCACUGUCAGGGGGUAGAAACAAUGAU
rnacentral:rRNA from 1 species